rnacentral:rRNA from 1 species
UACGGGGGGGGCAAGCGUUGUUCGGAAUUACUGGGCGUAAAGGGCUCGUAGGUGGCCAACUAAGUCGGACGUGAAAUCCCUCAGCUUAACUGGGGAACUGCGUCCGAUACUGGAUGGCUUGAGUUUGGGAGAGGGAUGCGGAAUUCCAGGUGUAGCGGUGAAAUGCGUAGAUAUCUGGAGGAACACCGGUGGCGAAGGCGGCAUCCUGGACCAACACUGACGCUGAUGAGCGAAAGCCAGGGGAGCAAACGGG